rnacentral:rRNA from 1 species
UGCGUAGGCGGUUUACUAAGUCAGAUGUGAAAGCCCCGGGCUUAACCUGGGAACUGCAUUUGAUACUGGUAGGCUAGAGUAUGAUAGAGGGGGGUAGAAUUCCUGGUGUAGCGGUGAAAUGCGUAGAUAUCAGGAGGAAUACCAGUGGCGAAGGCGGCCCCCUGGAUCAAUACUGACGCUGAGGUACGAAAGCGUGGGUAGCGAACAGGAUUAGAUACCCUGGUAGUCC